AGCUUGCUCCCAUUUCUCAGCGGCGGACGGGUGAGUAACACGUGGGCAACCUGCCCUGCAGACUGGGAUAACUCCGGGAAACCGGAGCUAAUACCGGGUAAUACAUAGCAUCGCAUGAUGCAACGUUGAAAGUUGGCUUUCGAGCUAACACUGCAGGAUGGGCCCGCGGCGCAUUAGCUAGUUGGUAAGGUAACGGCUUACCAAGGCCACGAUGCGUAGCCAACCUGAGAGGGUGAUCGGCCACACUGGGACUGAGACACGGCCCAAACUCCUACGGGAGGCAGCAGUAGGGAAUCUUCCGCAAUGGACGAAAGUCUGACGGAGCAACGCCCCGUGAGUGACGAAGGCCUUCGGGUCGUAAAGCUCUGUUGUUAGGGAAGAACAAGUACCGUUCGAAUAGGGCGGUACCUUGACGGUACCUAACCAGAAAGCCACGGCUAACUACGUGCCAGCAGCCGCGGUAAUACGUAGGUGGCAAGCGUUGUCCGGAAUUAUUGGGCGUAAAGCGCGCGCAGGCGGUCUCUUAAGUCUGAUGUGAAAGCCCACGGCUCAACCGUGGAGGGCCAUUGGAAACUGGGGGACUUGAGUGCAAAAAAGGAAAGUGGAAUUCCACGUGUAGCGGUGAAAUGCGUAAAUAUGUGGAGGAACACCAGUGGCGAAGGCGGCUCUCUGGUCUGUAACUGACGCUGAGGCGCGAAAGCGUGGGGAGCGAACAGGAUUAGAUACCCUGGUAGUCCACGCCGUAAACGAUGAGUGCUAGGUGUUGGGGGCUUCCACCCUCAGUGCUGAAGUUAACACAUUAAGCACUCCGCCUGGGGAGUACGACCGCAAGGUUGAAACUCAAAGGAAUUGACGGGGGCCCGCACAAGCAGUGGAGCAUGUGGUUUAAUUCGAAGCAACG
rnacentral:rRNA from 1 species